GUAAUUCAUUAAAUUUUUAAAAUAAUUAUUCGAGAGAUUCUUGUGACUUUGUGUUGAGAAAGAAAUUGUGGAUGCCUGGCAUAUUUUGGCUAAAUGUGGGCGUCUUAAAGUGCUACAUGAAGUUUUUGGUUGUGAAGUCCUUACCAGGGAGCGUGAUUCCUCUACUAUAAGUUUAAUCUUGUUUCUGGUGUUGUUUGGGAGCAUCUGUAUCUUCAGUAUUAACUUAUUUUUUUUUUAUAGGUACUGAAGUUUAUAUAUUCAUGGGUCAAGCAGGAGCUGGUCACCAUCGCCGCGGAGAGCAAUGUGGCGUGGCCCUCGCGACAAGCGGUAGAUUGGUACAACUUCUGCCGGGUAGUUGCGGAGGUUUUUGUCUCCCAAAAUCAAGAUAUCCAGCUAGGCGGCGAAGAAAUGCACGUCGAGGUAACGAUUGGUCCACGUUUGUGACUUUGCCAAAAAGUCUGUCUGUAUUGAUGAUUUUGGAUCGAUGAGACCUUCACUCGGAGGCGAAAAUACAACCACGGCCGCGUACGUGUAAGCACCCAAAUUACAAUAUUUGGUGCCUACUGUCGGGAAACGAGAGAGCUGAUGUACUGGCAUGUGGAGAACAAAAGCAGACAAGUUGUGUGGAGACACAUGCUCGGAUACAUCGCUCCAAAAUCCAUCAUAGUUUCCGACAGCGCGGCCCAGUAUUGCGGUUGUACGGCUUUGGGCUUCUCUGACCAUAAGAUCGUCAAUCACAGCCAGCGGGGCCCCGGGAGAUGAGAAGGAUGUGCUAAUUGAAAUGUGUUAAUUGAAAAUGACGGGCGUUAUGGCGAAGCAACAUUUUUUAUUUUUUCUUUUAUUUGCAAAUUCGUCGACACGGAUGAUCCUGAGGACCACACUCAAAACAUCGAGUGUAGACAUCGCUGGCUGAAGUCCAUCAAGUCGCUCCGAACAGACAGGAGCCUGCAAAGUUACACCUGCACGUACGUGUACUGGAUGCGGUUCCUGUCCCAGUCGCCAACAACAUUGGCGAAAUUCCGGCAGUUCAUCAGGGACAUCGUGGCCGUCUACCCAGGUCCCGGUUGCCAGGGUCUGCAACUCCAGACGAUCUGUGUGCCCGUGGAUGAACAUCUGCCUCCCGACGAGCCCUAUUUCGAUGUUCCCGUGCACGAGGGCGACGUAGAGGAACGUCAGGGGGAUGACGGU